UACGUAGGGUGCGAGCGUUGUCCGGAUUUAUUGGGCGUAAAGAGCUCGUAGGCGGUCUGUCGCGUCGGAUGUGAAAACCCAGGGCUCAACCCUGGGCCUGCAUUCGAUACGGGCAGACUAGAGUACGGCAGGGGAGACUGGAAUUCCUGGUGUAGCGGUGGAAUGCGCAGAUAUCAGGAAGAACACCGAUGGCGAAGGCAGUUCUCUGGGCCGUAACUGACGCUGAGGAGCGAAAGCGUGGGGAGCGAACAGG
rnacentral:rRNA from 1 species